rnacentral:lncRNA from 1 species
AGGUCAGAAGCUCUUGUGCAUAAGCAGGCCUGGUGUCCAUCAACAUUCACUAUCAAAUAAGAAUGUCAGUGUGAAGGCCUUUCCCACAGAAACACCAGGUGCAGCUAAGGGAAGCCGGAGGAAGUGGGUCAUUAGCCCAGAAGAGUGAAGGAAACUGAUUCGUGAGUCAAAAGGACAUUACCCACUGUUCCACUAAAGAAGAUACAGACUCGAACCCCAUUCUGCAUUUACCAAUCCACUGAUGAGUGACCAGCUCUGAAGGCUGAUGGGAAUCUUUGCCCCUUUAAACCAA